rnacentral:lncRNA from 1 species
CCUGAUGUUUCUCUCCUUUCUCUGUUCUUUAAGGAGUCUUCAGGCAUGGCAACACACAGACAGCCACGCAUCCACCCACCACCAGGGAAUGAGGGAGCUGGAAGCUCUGGGACAAGGAGGUGGUGUAAAGACUAAAUAGAAGGUGAGUAAGGUAAGGUUGGAAGUGCCAUGGCAGGGAGGACACAAGGAGGGGUAGGCUGGGCAGGGAGGCGAUGUGGGUAGGGUGGGUUGGGUCUCCAGAUUGGGUUGGGAGCCACGCUGAUGUUCCUCAGGAUCUAAAUCCAGCGCUGCUGGCAUGGGGAGGCCUGAGGGCGCCUGGCCAAGGAGGUGGAAGAGACAGACCUGGAUGAAAACAAGCUGAAAUACAGCGUGUUGAGGCAAGGCUGUGAGAGAGACCCACAACUGCCUUAAGGACCUGCAAACCAGUGAGAUUUCUGAGUUAACAAUUUCUCUGCUGCCACCAGGUGCCUGCGGAGGUCACUGGAAAUUAGCAUGUCCACACCCCAGGAGAGCUCUGACAACCUACUCAGACCACUCUUUGCUUCUCCUUGCUCAGAUGCAGAAGGCUGGCAAUGGUGUAGGCAGUGGAGAUCAAGAUGAUUUGCUGCCACUUCUCAUUAGUUAGUGCCAUCCACCCUGUGUGUUGAGACACAGAAAAAUGUACUGCUUGUUAAUGGCAUUCAGGGCCUGUGUGUCCCUGGGAGUUGUACUUGCAAGGUCUAAAAUUAAACAGCAUGGAUGAUUUUAGUUCUGGGUUUCUUCAGCAGUAUUUUGGGAGAAACCUUAAUAUCCGGUUUUGAACAAGAUUUCUGUGCCUAAUUUCCUGCCUUUACUUCCCUACCACACUCUUUCUGCUGGCUACUUGAGUGGAAAUAUUUCGUCCUGGACUUCCUCCUUCCAACUGUGCCACUCUGCUUUGGAGUAUGAUGGAUUCUCCCUUCUCAGCACCCGAGUCCAGCAAGAAGCAGGAGCAGGGCGGAGGAGACAAGGCAGAGAUGGAAAGCCUAAUCUGUUGCCAAGACCCAUUAUCCUUCGACUUGAGUCAAACAGUGCACCUUGCUUAUUGAAUCAGGGAAUAGUGUGUGUUUUAUGAAGACAGAAAGGAAAAGAGCUGCACAGUCAACUCUUAGAUUUCCUUGGAAAUUUUUCAGCGAGUCAAAAUUUUGUUGGAAACAUCUACGCAGCUUUCAUAAUGCAAGUUACUUGGGCUUUUGAAAUGCCUUGGAUUUGACAGAUUCCUGUGAGCUCAAAGGUGAGCUCCUGCCAGGUUUGGCCAGAGGUAGGAGCUGCCAGACCCUUAACCCUGUGGCAGUUGUGGGGGUAUCCAUGUAGUGCAGGUAGCUCAGGGUGCAGCUUGGAUUGAGCCCUGGGUGAGGACAGCUCGAGGCAAGAGGCUGUGACCUGGUGCUGCCCCUUUGCCCCACAAAGGACAGAAGGAUCUUUGGCUCAGACAGGUGACCCGACACUCAGAUACACAGCAGCAGCUGAGGGCUCAGGUGGAAAACCCCAGCCUCAGGGUAUAAAAGCCCAGUGUUUCCUUUGUUCAGUGUCCCUUCUCCAAGGCAAAAGCUUGAGCUGUUACUCUCUUGCUGCACUAUAUAAAAUUACUUAAAGGAACCAGAGGUCUGAGUCCCUUGGGAAACCUGGGAUUGAACUGCUGAGGAAAUCCUGUCUGUGUGGGAUGUGUACGGAGUCAGGCAGGGCACCUGUUGGGUCACUGGAAGGGGCUCUGGUCCC